UAAGGAAUAUUGGUCAAUGGACGCAAGUCUGAACCAGCCAUGCCGCGUGGAGGAUGAAGGUCCUCUGGAUUGUAGACUUCUUUUAUUUGGGACGAAAAAAGUUUUUUCUAAAACACUUGACGGUACCAGAUGAAUAAGCACCGGCUAACUCCGUGCCAGCAGCCACGGUAAUACGGAGGGUGCAAGCGUUAUCCGGAUUUACUGGGUUUAAAGGGUGCGUAGGCGGGUAGGUAAGUCAGAGGUGAAAUCUCCGAGCUUAACUCGGAAACUGCCUUUGAUACUAUCUAUCUUGAAUAUUGUGGAGGUAAGCGGAAUAUGUCAUGUAGCGGUGAAAUGCUUAGAUAUGACAUAGAACACCUAUUGCGAAGGCAGCUUACUACGCAUAUAUUGACGCUGAGGCACGAAAGCGUGGGGAUCAAAC
rnacentral:rRNA from 1 species